UACAGAGGCCUCGAGCGUUAGGCGGAAUCACUGGGCUUAAAGCGUGUGUAGGCGGACUUCUAAGUACCUUGUGAAAUCCCACGGCUCACCCGUGGAACUGCUCGGUAUACUGGUUGUCUUGAGCCUUCUAGGGCGAGUGGAACAAAUGGUGGAGCGGUGAAAUGCGUAGAUAUCAUUUGGAACGCCAAUGGUGAAAACAACUCGCUGGGGAAGUGCUGACGCUGAGACACGAAAGCCAGGGAGCGAACGGG
rnacentral:rRNA from 1 species